rnacentral:rRNA from 1 species
AGAUUGAACGCUAGCGGGAUGCUUUACACAUGCAAGUCGAACGGCAGCGCGGACUUCGGUCUGGCGGCGAGUGGCGAACGGGUGAGUAAUAUAUCGGAACGUGCCCAGUAGCGGGGGAUAACUACGCGGAAGCGUGGCUAAUACCGCAUACGCCCUACGGGGGAAAGGGGGGAUUCUUCGGAACCUCUCACUAUUGGAGCGGCCGAUAUCAGAUUAGCUAGUUGGUGAGGUAAAGGCUCACCAAGGCGACGAUCUGUAGCUGGUUUGAGAGGACGACCAGCCACACUGGGACUGAGACACGGUCCAGACUCCUACGGGAGGCAGCAGUAGGGAAUAUUGGACAAU